GUGCUCACUUCGGCAGCACAUAUACUAAAAAUUGGAAUGAUACAGAGAAGAUUAGCAUGACCCCUGCGUAAGGGUAACAUGCAAAUUUGUGAACCAUUACAUUAAAUG
ensembl:snRNA U6 U6 spliceosomal RNA